UACAGAGGUCUCAAGCGUUGUUCGGAUUCAUUGGGCGUAAAGGGUGCGUAGGCGGCGCGGUAAGUCGGGUGUGAAAUCUCGGAGCUUAACUCCGAAACUGCAUUCGAUACUGCCGUGCUUGAGGACUGGAGAGGAGACUGGAAUUUACGGUGUAGCGGUGAAAUGCGUAGAUAUCGUAAGGAAGACCGAAAGCGAAGGCAGGCAACUGGGUGUCACCUGACACUGCUAGGACGAAAGCGUGGGGAGCGAAUGGG
rnacentral:rRNA from 1 species